GAUGAAGAACGCAGCGAAACGCGGUAUGUAAUGUGAAUUGCAGAAUUCAGUGAAUCAUCGAAUCUUUGAACGCACAUGGCGCCUUCCAGUAUCCUGGGAGGCAUGCCUGUCCGAGCGUCGUUUCAACCCUCGAGCCCCCGUGGCCCGGCGUUGGGGAUCUGCCCAGGCAGUCCCCGAAAACCAGUGGCGGACCCGUUACAGGCCCUUCCCUUGCGUAGUAGCAUUCGCCUCGCAUCGGGAGCCGGCGGGCUUCCAGCCUCUAAACCCCCAUCAAGUCCGCCCCGGCGGCACCAAGGUUGACCUCGGAUCAGGUAGGAAUACCCGCUGAACUUAAGCAUAUCAAUAAGCGGAGGA
rnacentral:misc_RNA from 1 species